UAACUUAAUAACUCCUCGCUAUUUACAGGAGCUCCUAAAAGGGCCUGUCACUGACCAUCAACGACGUGAGUCUCCGGUCUCCAGCGAAAAUCGCAAAAUUAGUUCAAAAAGUGAAAACUAAAACCCACAAACUUAUUUACCACCGAUGUAAAACUAACAAGAGAAGAAAAAAAAAUAAAAUGACUAAAAGGAAAAUGAAAUAGGAAAUGAAAAAAAAAAUAUUUACAACUACUAUCUAAAAAAAAACCAGAAAAAGAGAAAAAAACAAUAAGUAAGCUUUAGAUUCAAAACAAAAAUCUUUGCUACUUGCUACAAAACCGUUUAAAAUAAAAAAAAAUACUCCAGGAAGUUUACACUAAACUAUGAGGAAGGAAAAAAAAAUAUUUACAACUAUCAACUAUUAAAGGAAUAUGAAAUAUACAAGAUUAAAACAAAAAAAAAACUGUCUGAAACUAUUGAUUUGGUGAAUGAGAGAUGAUUUGAACAAAAGCAAAGAAGUUUUCAAAAGGUUGUUUCGAUUCCGGUUGACGUCCAGUAGUUGUGGCCACCCCUUUCGUACAAAAAAAAACUACCUAAAUUUGCUGCAUUUAUAACCUAAAGUAUCACCACUGCUGGCUGAAAACGUCUGGUUGCAUUUGCUCCCUCACCUGGUUGCACCGAUAACGGAAUGUAAAUGCUCCCUUUUAAAAACGAACUCCGAGGUUUGAGCAAAAUAUCCUACCCCUACCUUUGGCGAGAAAACGGAUAGUUGAACAUUCCUCUUAAACGAAAAAAAACCGAAUUUUCUCCCUGUUUGUUUCCACAAGUAAACCUGUUCCUUUAUUCUCACAGGGAGUCCACUCUUAAAAACAGAACUCAUUCGAAAAUAAUUCUCUCCUGAGAUUCUGAAGUAUCACCUAAAUCUACAAUUAACUCAUUCAUAAAUCUUGUUCCAUUCAGCAAACAUUUAUACAUCAGAAUCCACCUCCGUGGACUCCGACAUGCAUUCCGACAAAAUUCAUUCAAACUGGCAACCACAACUUUAAAACGUCAAACGAAAUCAAAACAAACCCGAAAAAGUUCGACGCAGGACGCGUGGAAUGGAUAGAAAGUAUCGCUGGUUUCGAAAACUCGUUCGUUCCGGUGCAUCUGCAAAGCAUAACCGCCCGGUUUCUGCCGAGAAAGGAGCAUCCGUUGUCCGGGAGUGUUCUUACGUGACGAAGGGGUCUCGCUGACGGUUAUCCUGGAAGCAGUGGCCAUCCUUGGUAGAGGUCAUGACUGGGUGGACGUAGUCUGGUGGCGUUCCCAAAAAGUUUUUUUCUUGUAUCGAAGCAGGUAAGUAUGUAAAUUAACGGAUAGUAAAGUGUUGUUUUUUUAAUCUUACAGGUGACAAACUCCGGCGACGUAAAAUAUGCCCACUUCAGCGAUCUCGGAAAUUAUAGAGGCUUCGAAAUUGGAUCCCAUUGGAGAUGUUGGUUUUGUACCGAAGAUGUGGACAGGAUGAGGAUUUCCACCCGGUUCCCGCGGGGAAUGAGCUUAUCGUCGCCCGACGCUGAAGAAUGCAACACACAGGAAAAUCUCCAAAGGAAAACCAUCUUCCGGUCUUGGGAAAUAACGGAUCAUCUUCAAAAGGUUUUCGGAACAACCGUUCCGGUGACGUAUGCGGAUCGAGAAAUGUUAGGACGAGAGAUAUUACGGCGGAAAUUAUUAAAUGAAGGCGAAACAAUUUAUGAGAACUAAUGGAUAUUUUAAACCAAUAUAAUUAAAUAUGAAUUCAAAUUGUAAUUCAAAGAAAAUGUUUUUAAUAAUCGGGUAAAAAAAAAAUAAAGUAAAUAAAAAAACGAACUUAUGGCGAAAAAAAAUGUAUAAGAGUUUCGACUACUAUGUGUAUAAUUAUAAACAAAAAAAGAGAAUAAAUUAUAUAUGGUGAGAAAAGAAAUACAAAUUAAUUUUAGGCCUUAUCUAGCAAUAACAAUAU